GAUGAACGCUGGCGGCGUGCCUAAUACAUGCAAGUAGAACGCUGAAGGAGGAUCUUGCUCUUCUGGAUGAGUUGCGAACGGGUGAGUAACGCGUAGGUAACCUGCCUGGUAGCGGGGGAUAACUAUUGGAAACGAUAGCUAAUACCGCAUGACAACAGUUAUUGCAUGAUAACUGUUUAAAAGGUGCAACUGCUCCACUACCAGAUGGACCUGCGUUGUAUUAGCUAGUUGGUGAGGUAACGGCUCACCAAGGCGACGUUACAUAGCCGACCGGCGAGGGUGAGCGGCAACACUGGGAAUGAGACACGGCCCAGACUCCUAGGGGAGGCAGCAGUAGGGAACCUCCGGCAAUGGAAGGAAGUCUGAACGAGAAACGCCGCGUGAGUGAAGAAGGCUGUCGGAUCGUAAAGCUCUGUUGUAAGAGAAGAAUGAGUGUGAGAGUGGAAAGUUCACACUGUGACGGUAUCUUACAAGAAAGGGACGGCUAACUACGUG
rnacentral:rRNA from 1 species